GGGAGCAUAGCUCAGUUGGAGCGGUAGUAAACUCAAGUUCUAAACGCCCCGCGUUCGACCCGCAGUGGUCCCC